UGGUGUAUUUGAUUAUGGCGAAGCAUGCAAGGCUAUCUAUUUAGAAGAGAGGAUGCCUUCGUGGAGUCUUCGUGGAGAUAUUGCCUCUUAUCCACGUUACACAUGGGGGAAACGUCGAAAAUAACUAUGCAGUCAGCUCAUUCGCCUGGAGUCGAACCCAAGUCAAACUACCAGUGCUCAGUGACUUUACCGCUCGGCAUGUGAUUUGCUAAUUGCUGAUGAUGGGGAUGCGUCUGCACGAAAAAACCUGAAACAGUGGUUCGUCUUUCCAUGAGUAGUUUCCAGUAGUUAGAGUGAGUUUACCGAAAAGAUGAAGAAACUAAUGGGACAUAUUCUUCGUUUAUAAGAUAUUUUGAACUCAGCCCAAGCUACCAAGAGCCGACGGUGUACUGAGUUGCCGCAUAUCGUUCGUCUUGUGCUGCAUAAUGGUAGCAACUUUUCCAGUACUCAAAGGGUACAGAGUACAAAGCAAGCAGCCAACCCCCAUCACCCCCCUAUUUGAGCCGAAACGACUCUCUAAGCCGCUCGGAUGCACAAAUAUGAAUACACGCGAAUACAAAUAGUUUUAAAAAAUAAAUCACAAAAAUAUACUUCGUUUUAUUUUGUCCAAUUUAGUUUCUAAGUCAUUCGUUAUUUCCUGUAUUAAGUGUUUCCCCCCAAGCUCGUAGACUUUCAGGUAAUGCAUAAUUAAAUAAAACACAUUGAAGUCAGUUACGCUUUGAGGUAUUUAGAUUAUUUUAGAUUUCAUUUUCUGCAUAUGUUGAAUGUAGAUAAUGACAGGCUGUGAACUGUUAGGCUUCGGUCGGUUUUUUUUCGAUAACAGCUCCUUGUACUUUUUAUGUAUUUUCUAAGUUUUAAUUUCUCACUGGCUGUAGUUUCUUGCUACCAGUGGUGCACCAAUGAUGGUUGUUGUAUUGCUUGGUAUUCGAGUAAUUGCUGCUUGAUGACUGGUUUAAAUCCAUGGAUGAAACUUAUCCUCGGUAGUGUAUUUGUCUUACGAAGAAUUGUAUCUUAAUAAACUACGUUCUUCACCUUUAGGGUGAUUAACUUUUUUAAUGUAUAUACAUUUAUAUUCUUUUAUAAUUUUCUAAUCUGAUAUUAUAGUUAGAGAAAAAAGACUCUUGAUGUAAUUUCUCGAGAAAAUUCCACUCAACAAGAAAGUUCCGUUAUUUUAAAUAAGAAAGAAUCCUCAGUAGUUAAUGAUAAUUUCAAUAAGAGAUUAUCAUUUGUUGCUCAUUAUUUGUAAAGGACAAUGAUGCAUUGAAUAUUUAUUAACUAAUAAAAUUAUGAAAUAAAUAAAUAAAAUCAUGAAAUAAUCGGUAAGUGAUUUGAUAUUUAACAAAUAUUCGGGAAUUCAGAUUUCGAUAUUCCAUACUAAAUAAUAAAUUUAUUUAAGUUUUAUAGGUUGGUACUUUAUAUUGUUGUGUACAUCAGUAAUUAACGUUUGUGUAGCAUUUUCGAAUGUAUCAUAAUAUUAGGACGAUAUGCAAAUUUCAAUUAAUUCUACAUAAAGUGUUUUAAAGAAUAAUUUCUUAAUUUUGUUUUUAUAUUUACUUCAUAUUUACAUGCGUUAUUUAAUAUUAUUUAUUUAGAAUUUUGCUUAGAACUGAUAAUUAAGUAACAUAUUUUUCAAAAGUCUUUGCAUUAAUUUAAAGACACAUAUUUUAAAAACAUUUCUUAAUAAUAUCAAACAAAGUAUAUGUAUUAGACAUAAGAAACAUCUGCUAUAAAUUCCUUUGCUGUAAAUAUGAAUCAACUAUUAGAUUUAGAUUUUUAUUAUUACUUAUGCUGCAUUUAAAUCAGUUCUAAAUAAGAGCUACAGAUUUAAAGUAUUCUGUUCCCAAUUUUUUCUGUCUCAUUUAAGCGUUAAAUUAUGCUAAUAAUAAGGUGCUACAUGAAUGUGAAGUUGCACAGAAGUAUUUUAAAUUCCAGUGUUAUUUAAUUAAAUAAUGGAGAACAAAUAAAAUUUUAUCCAGAAAUAUUUAAUCAUGAAAUUAAGAAUCGUCUGCAGAAUGAUGAAGAUUUCAGUUUUGUAGAAACUGUACCGUGUUAUUUUAUUUCAAUUUAAAAAUAAAUUUAAAUACGUUUUCUUCAAUGCUAGAGUAAAAACAGUCUGCUAAUUGAAUAAGGAAUUGUACUUUAAUAAAAAAAUUAAAUUUUAGAAUUGUUAGAAAUAUCAUUUUAUAAUAUUAAAAUUUCAAUCUAUUUUGUCCAUUUUAUUACAAAAGUUAUCUAUUUAAAAGAAGUAAUUUUUAAUGAUAAUACAUUUUAUUUUAACGUUUUUUAGUACUUUAAUAUUAUUACGAAUUUUUAGUAUUUUAAUAUCAAAAUCUGCAUUUAUAUUUAUUACUGUAUGAAGUGUAACAGUGACAAGAUCGUUUUUGAAAGACAAUAAGGGUUUUAAAAAUUUUAAUAUUUAAGUAAUUCUUAUAUUUUACUUGAGCAACAUAUUGCUCAUUAUGACGUAUAAAAAUUUUGGAUAUUAAUUUAAGAGUAAUUAAUUUAGGUAAAUUUCAUUGCUCUUAAGAAAUAUUUCAGAAGAGAAUAAAAUUUGGCUAUAACUUUCAAAUUAGAAUAUUAAAAAUGAUUUAUGUAAUUUUUUGUUAUAAUCUUUGUUCACAAAUCAUUAUUCAUUUAUUUAAUUUAAAAUCGAAAAGAAUAGUUAUAUUUUUAAUCGCAAGUCAGUUGUAUUUUACGUCAUAUUUUAAAUGCAAUUUAAUAGAAUAAAGUCAUAUUUUAUUUAAAUCAUAAAUGAAGACCCAAUCAAGUUAAUAAUACGUUCUGCAGAUGUUAGUCUUAAAAAGUUUCAGAUCAGCCCCCUCCCCUACAUAUAAAGUUCCUUACUCAUUUGAAAACAUUAUUAAUUAAAUCUUUCGUUAAUAACAUUUGUGUUAAAAUAUUUUACCGAAUAAUAUGCUUAGUUGCUGCUUUUCUUUUAUAUUUCUAAUUUUAGGGUAGAAAAUAUUUUUGCUUGGGAAACUCUACAAAAAUUGUUGAAACAUAAAUUUCGACAAAAAACUUCUGUUUCGAAAAUAUAUUACUCUCAAAAUACUUGCAUUAUAAAUGUAUAGUAAUAUGAUUAUCAAUCAAUUUGACAAAACUCUACUGGUACAAUGUAUUAAAGUCUUAUUGUUAACUUAACUUAGUCUUAUUGUUAAGUUCAAACUAUUAUUUACUUUGUAACUUUAAAUAGUAAUGAAAACCAUCAUAUUAUCAAUAAUGAUAAAUUUUUAUCUAAUAGUUGUUAUUGUUUUAGUUAAGUGUCCUUCUAAAAGUAAUUGAAAGGAACAUUUAUUAAAUAAGGAAGCGUUUUUACAACAGAGAAAGAAUUCUGCAAUUUUAUUUCCUAGUAUAGUUUCUUAAUUACAGAGAGUUUAUGGUGAAUAUAAACAAUUAUACAUGUACUUUAUCAAACUAUAUAUAAGUAACCAAAUCAAAAUAUAUGCAAUAAACUACAUAUAACUAAUAAAAUCAACAUUUGAAAACAUAAUGUAACACUUUUAAACGUAUUAUAAUUUUAACACCAUGUAAUAUAAUUAAAUAUACUAAAACUGGAUAUUCAAAAGUCUUUUUUCUUUUAUUAUAUUAAAAUUAAAAAACAAAUUUGACCAUUUAUAAAAGUUGAAAGAGAAAAUUCUGCCGAGUGAUAGAUCAAGCAAUAUUUCACAUCAAUAAUAGGAGCAAUAUUUUUUGCAAAAUAAUUAAAAAUGGCUUGCUCUGGAUUUUAAACAUAUCCUAGAUCUGCCGGCUAACAAAUUAAAAUUGCUAAAAGAUUCGUUACUAUCAUAAAUUAAAAUAAUUGUGAAUAAAAGAAAUUUUUCCCACUCAUGAUAACUGCAGGUUUUUAAGUGUAAGAAAACACAAAACUGUUCGACGCAGAUUUACUUUAGCAGAAGCAGUUUCAGCGAUUCAAACACGACCGCUUUCUUCAAUUGCAACUAAAUGAAAGGCAAGUAUCACAAACAGAAAUUUCAAGAACAUAUUAAAAAUUAUUAAUAUUAAAAAUUAUUAUUAUUAAUAUUAAAAAUAUCCAUUCGUUGUUAGUGCGGCUUGAGAUAUAUUUAGGAAACAAACGAGCUUUGGAAUUUCAUAUAUGUAAACAUGAGUCAUAGGUUUGGGAAAAAAUAAGUCUUUUAUAGCCUAGCAUUGUUGGACUGCAAACCUUAAUUUUGCAUCUGCCAAAAUCGCCCAACACAUUUCCUCAGUUGGCGAAUUAGAUUUUUUGAGGCUUCAUAUAUCCAUAAUAAUCUGUUUGCACUGGUGAAUGACUCAAAUUCUAACCCAUUUUCCCCGCCCAUCUAUAAACAGAUAAUUUCUUACUACACUUUCCUUUCCUAUGUUGGCAACAUGUUUUUUGCUUCGUUCUUUCCUCUUCUCUGUCUUCAUUUCAGAGGACACUGUGACUUGUUUCUAUCAUGUUCUUUAAAUUUCAUCAACCUAUCUUUCUGUUUGUGAAACUUUUCUUUUAGUUGCUGUUGAAAAAGUUAUGAAGAGGUUAAAACGCUUCUUUUAAAAUCAUAUCUGUAUCAAUCAAUAUUGUGUUUUCUUACACUCAGUUCUACUCCGAGUGUCAUUCCUUUCCAACUGAACAUUUAUUUGAAAUUAAAUAUUUGAAUUUUAUAACCUUACAUGACACUGAAUGGCGAUUACAUUAAUAAUCAAAUGUUCUCCAAUUUCUUGUUUACUUUAAAGUUAUUCAAAUAUUUUGUUUUCAUUUUUCUUAAACAUUAUUUUUUAAACUAAUAACUGCUUAUAAGUUUCCCCAUUUUAAUGCCUACUCGGUUGUGACAGGUCUAAUCAAAUCUAAAUCUUUUUGUCACCAAUACCACUUAGAUUUUCUGAUUAAGUGCCAAAAGAGAAGUUUUCUAAGAAAGGUAAACAUUCUCAAAUGUUUAUGAAUCUCUAGGCGCGCUUGUUGUAUAGGGAAUUCAAAUAGGAAGUUGUUAUAGAUAUGCUUUACGUUGUUGCUCCAUUGAUGUUAUUAUUGUUCUUAUCUGCAUGAAACUUCUAAGGACUUCAUUGUGUCUAAAAUGCCAUGUGUAUAUUAGAGUUACUUUCACAUGAAAAUAUGACUUAUCAUUCCACUAUUAUGCUUCACAGUGGCUAAAGGUGACUGUUCCAUUAUUUCAAAAAUGGCAUAAGUAUAUGACAAUUGCAUUUACAUGAGAUAUCAUUGAUCAUACCACUAUGGAUGUGCUUACCUUUUUGUUAUCUUUACAUGUACCACAUGAAAUACAAUCCAACGAAUUGAAAAACCUUCGGCCCUUUCUCAUGUAAAUACUUCUGUAAAUAUGUGUAAAUAAAACUAUAAACUACACUUGUCAAAGUCCACUUCAGAAGCGUUCUGUGUAACUUUCUCGAUGUCUAGCUUAAUGUUAAGGGACCAUAAUUGUCAGAUGCCAUGGGUGUUAGAGAAGACUGUAACAAGAAUUACAUUAGUGUUAAAGGACAAAACAUGUCAGCACUUUCUCAAAUUUUUGCACCACUUCUAUGAAACGGUUAUACAAGUUCGAUGUUUUAAAGUUCAAAGUCUCAGUGCAAAAAUAGUGCAAAUAUUCUGAAACGUGUGCGUGAGAAGCAAGGAAAAUUGUAUAAAUAUAGUCCUGAAAUGUUUCAGAAUGCUUAAAAUAUUUAACAGAUUGUAAGAAUUAUUUUGAGCAAAUUCUUAUGUUUUUAUGUGUCUGUCAGAAUAACUAGAAUGAUGAUUUUUCAUGCAAAUUCAAUGAAAUAUGUUUUGAAGUUAGUAAGCGUGGUAUGAAUGUUUUACUUGUUUUGAAAAAUUCGAAUUAUAAAAAAAGUUUUGCAUCUAAGAUAUAUUUUGGCUGAUAAAAAAAGUAAUAACGAUAUUGAGUAAUUAUAUGCUAUUCAAACAUGUGAAUGUGAGCAUCAGGCGCAAUAGCCCUUUUAUUUAAUAAGAUAUAUAAAUGAAUUAUUUCCUAUAUCAACUGAAUAUUUGAUUAAAAGGAAAAAUGUGUUUUUUAAUUUUACUAUUAUCGUAUUAGCUCUAGAGUAAGACGAUACUCCUUCUGUAAAUGAUAUGAAUCUUAUAUGCGCACCUUAACAUUUAAAAACAUAUUAAGCAGGAAAGAGCAUUCUGAUCAUCGAAUGCUAACAUUCGAGAUUAGAAUUUUCACUUCUUUUGGUCAUUCGAAUCUCAAUUUAAAAUUUUUUCACCUCAAAACUUUGGAAAGAUUAGUUUUAUCGAAGUCCAUCAAAAGCGUUGUUGAUUUAAAGACCAGAAUCAUUUCAUUUACGGCGUAAGUGGCACACUGACUCAGUAUGCUAUCUAAAGAAUUCUGCUGAAAGUUUUAAAUAAUCAAAACGUUUUGAAAUUCUCGAAUCAUCUCUAUAAUUCUUGGCGUAGAUAAUAACCAACUAGGUCUUGGAUGUUUAUAGCAAUUCAUGCCAUGAUCUAUUAAGUCUACAUGACGCACAUAACUCCAGUUAUCUUACGGGCGAACUAGUUAGCCGAAACUGUUUAAUUUCGAACUGUUAGUUUCGAACUGUUGUUUACAAAUUUGUUGUUAGUUGACAAAUUAGUUAGUUUGUCAUAUUAUGCUGAGAAAAUUAUCUUAAGAUUCAAGAAUUCUAAUUAUGUUUUCAUUAGUGUCUGCUCAAUAGCUAUAUAUGCAUUUAAAAAAAACUCUGACCUUAAUUUUUCCCCCGUCAAAGACAGAUAUAAAAUUUCACUUUAUUUAAAAUUUUCUAAUAUAAAAAAAGCUUCUUUCCUCCUUCUUCUUUUUAUGCUUAUUUAAUAGUUUCGAGAGAUUCGAAAAUUCAAAAUUCUUUUAGGAGUUAGGUUCUUUUUCCAGAUUCGGUGUUUAGAGCAUUUAAUUAUUCAUCUUACAGAACCAUUAACAUAUAAAUCUUAUCUUACUGUAAGAGGAACAACCCAAUGUAUAAUUUAAAAUUAAAUAAGAGAAUGAAACUCAGAUUAGUGGAGGCUUCGAUUAAAACUCUAUCAUUUUCCAGCGCGAUCAGAUAUGAAUCCCCCUUCUUCGUUCUUAUACGUACCUUUCGGAUACGUACUUAUACGUACCUUUUCGGAUAAAUAUAAUCUAAAAGUCGAAGUUCAUUUCUUUUACAGCGUAUUAAGUGUAAAUCAAAUGUAACCUCAAAUGUUCCAUUCGCUCAGUAUAAACAGAUCAAGCGAAAAAAAAAUCUAAUCUAUAGAUUCGGUAUAUAGACAGAACAAGUUAACAUUUCCGUAAGGAACAAUUUAAAUGCACACGUAAAAUAUGCUUACAUACAGAUACACUAUUUCGACUGUAUUGAAAUCAUUUAAAUGAUCCUGUUUCUAAAAUCGUAAUUCUUUAAAUUUUACUAGCUUAUGUGUGCACUGAAAUGUUAAAAAAAUAUAUAAGAUAAGGAUUUUGCUGGUGUUUCUUAAAGAUUCUCAAUCAACCAUUCAGAAACUAAAUGAAGUUUGUUUUGAUCUUGUUGAUUAUUCAUUUGUUUUUUACAAACUAGUAUUGUGUUAAUUGAAUGAAUGGGACUGUAUAUAUUCUUUACGAAGACGAGACUAGAAAAUGUUGAUGUUUUCUUAAUCCUUGUUGAAAUAAUCUGGGCCGUGAAAAAAUUUCACACGUGUGGCCCUUUGUUUAACAUGUAAUAUGUACAUAAUAUAAUAAAUAUUCUGUUCUGCAACGA